rnacentral:rRNA from 1 species
CAGUCGCCACGGGAAUACGUAGGGUGCAAGCGUUAAUCGGAAUUACUGGGCGUAAAGCGUGCGCAGGCGGUUAUAUAAGACAGAUGUGAAAUCCCCGGGCUCAACCUGGGAACUGCAUUUGUGACUGUAUAGCUAGAGUACGGCAGAGGGGGAUGGAAUUCCGCGUGUAGCAGUGAAAUGCGUAGAUAUGCGGAGGAACACCGAUGGCGAAGGCAAUCACCUGGGCCUGUACUGACGCUCAUGCACGAAAGCGUGGGGAGCAAACAGGAUUAGAUACCCCCGUAGUCCCUGUCUCUUAUAC